ACAAGGGGCUGCAUUGGUUCUGUCAAUUCCCAGUUUUAUCCAAUCUAGGAAGCUAAGCAGAAUCAGGCCUGGUUAGUACUUGGAUCCUUGAGUGUCUGGUGCUGAUACCAGGUGCUGUA
ensembl:rRNA 5S_rRNA 5S ribosomal RNA